CCUGAGAAACCCAAAAGAUCGAAUGGGGAGAUUCAUCGUCAGCUCAUUUUGUAUAUAUAUAAGUUAUGAUGCGGGUUACUACUUGUAGUAUUGCUUGCACAUUCUUGUAUAUUUAGUUGCAAGAUGUUGUCGGCGUGCACUUCUUUCCUAGUAGAACGUCGUGACCUGUUAAGUGUCGGUCUACGGCCCAAGUGAUAGCCUUUAAUGUAAUUUAAAAAGCAUUUGAGAUCCUUGGUGUUUUCUGACCGGCUACUUGGCAGUAUUCAUAUGGUAUUUAGCCGCUAAAUUUAUUUUAAGCGUCCAUAUCCGUCACAAGCGAGGCUAAUUUACUGAUAGUACGGACCUAGUGCCGUCGUUGGUAUUAGUCAGCUGUUGGUUGUACGGUAUUCUAGGACUGGCUAAAAAUUAAUUACCGGUCAGCGAUGCUACUGCUUUGGGUACUUUCAGG
rnacentral:rRNA from 1 species